rnacentral:rRNA from 1 species
UACAGGGAGGGGCUAGUCGUGCUCGGAAUUACUGGGCGUAAAGCGUGCGCAGGCGGUUCGCCAAGUCAGGUGUGAAAUCCCCGGGCUUAACCUGGGAAUUGCGCUUGAAACUAGCGGGCUUGAGUGUGGCAGAGGGGGGUGGAAUUCCACGUGUAGCAGUGAAAUGCGUAGAGAUGUGGAGGAACACCGAUGGCGAAGGCAGCCCCCUGGGUCAACACUGACGCUCAUGCACGAAAGCGUGGGGAGCAAACAGG